AGUUGUGCUCUUUUCCGGCAAUGGAUGCCUAAAAACCUUUCAUAUACUGAAACAUCUCCAUCUUCUUUGCUAUGGCCACAGCCGAACACCAAUAUUUCACCACGUGUUCCCCAAACUGCACCAAAAUUCUAUCGCCUCAGUGUGGUGUUGCAACAGAAUGUAAUUUUCAAGCCUCCAAAAUUGUUCGUAAGAAUAUGAGGACUGCCAACGUGGAGAAUCUAAAAUGACAAUAUUCAAAAUUAUCGAUGGAGAUGUCCCACCGAUAAGCCCAAAUGCGAACGUCUUCCCUUGAUCGUUAAACAAAAAGUUUAGUAUCUUUGGGAUUGGAAGUUAUAGGAACCGUAACUUCUAUCUCCAGAACCCUAGGUUGACCAUUCACUAAAUUUUUAACUUUGUAGUAACAUAUAAACAACAAUUUAUUAUUAUUCAAAGUCCAAAUAUUUACUUGAAUACAAUUAAUUUUUGAGCCGAGAAUUGACAAGUAAAGAUUUCCCUACCAGGGAAAAAAGAAUAUCUUCUUUAUCAUCCACAAAUAGAGCGAAUAGAAGGAAACUGAGUAUACAUCCUCGUUUCGCCCCUUGAUUUGUAUUAGAUUCGUCUGAAAGACUGAAAUUUUAUCACAAUCAUUUUUGUUAUAGGAGAUAAUAGUAAAAUGAAUUUUAAAAAAAAACCUAAAAAUUCCGGAAAUGU